rnacentral:rRNA from 1 species
GACGGAAGGUGCAAGCGUUGCUCGGAAUCACUGGGCGUAAAGGGUGCGUAGGCGGCCGUGCAAGUCUGGCGUGAAAGCCCCGGGCUCAGCCCGGGAAGUGCGCUCGAAACUGCGCGGCUCGAGUGCCGGAGGGGAGAGUGGAAUUCCUGGUGUAGCGGUGAAAUGCGUAGAUAUCAGGAGGAAUACCGGUGGCGAAAAGCGACUCUCUGGACGGCAACUGACGCUGAGGCACGAAAGCGUGGGGAGCAAACAGG